GAUAUUUUGCUUGUUGCGGUUAAAAAGCUCGUAGUUGGAUUUCUUCCAGGGGCAGUCGGUCCACACUACGUGUGCGUAUCUGAUUUGACUUUGGAAUCCUCUUGGGGAACAUCUCUGCGCUUAACUGCGUAGAAUGGUAUUCAAGACUUUUACUUUGAGGAAAUUAGAGUGUUCACGGCAGGCAAUCGCCCUGAAUACAUUAGCAUGGAAUAAUAAUAUAGGAUUUCGGUUCUAUUUUGUUGGUUUCUAGAGCUGAGAUAAUGAUUAAUAGGGACACUUGGGGGCAUUCGUACUAUCACGUCAGAGGUGGAAUUCUUGGAUUGUGUUACGACGAACUACUGCGAAAGCAUUUGCCAAGGAUGUUUUCAUUGAUCAAGAACGAAAGUAAGGGGAUCGAAGACGCUUAGAUACCGUC
rnacentral:rRNA from 1 species